CUCGUCUCUGCAGUAGUGAAGUGAAGUCUGGGUUUCGAUCUGAAGCUGAAGAUAAGAGAAUUUAGGGUUUCAGGCUGCAAGUGCAGUUUGAGGUUUUGGGGGUUUCGAUCUGAAGAUAUAUUUCUUAAGAGAAACGAUGCUGGUGACCAUUUUCCCUCACUUGCAAUCUGCUUAGGCUUU